GAUUAGUCUUGCCAAUUAAUAUUUUACCUUGCACACUUUCAGCAUAAUCCUGUAGAGAAAGCAAAAACAGAGAAAGAGAAAUUGAGAGAAAAUUGCUUUUUGCAGAGAAUGAAUUCAAGCUUGAAUGGUGAAAUACAGAUGAUCACUGCUAAUAAUAAUUCAAUUAUUCUACAUCCCAUAAGAUGGAGGCCGGUGAAAAUCCAUCAGACCCAUCUUGGAGGGAUGAUGGUGAACUCCAAGAGAUCAGCUAGCUGAUUUAUGAAGUGGAUUAACGAAGCCCUUCUUCAACUGAUCAUGAACCAGAUGACAAUCUUGUUUUGCAGUUAUGUGAAAGGCUGUCUUGUUUUUCUUUUCUUAGUUUUCUAUGUGAAGAAGAUAAUUUUCUAUUUGCAUGUUCUGUGCAUAUUCUUUGACUCAGACAUUAUAGUUUGUACCUGGGUGCAUUAUUUCUGCUAAAAGGAACUGAGAAAUUCUAG
rnacentral:lncRNA from 1 species